CUUCCCCCUUUCUCGCCACAGCAGAUCGGAAUCGGAGGUCCACCCGCCCCAGCCAGGUCGUACUCCGCCUCCUCCUCGUCGUCAUCUACGGGAUUCUGCUCGCCGCCUCUAUCGCGACCUUCUCCUCCGCGCCCCAGGCCGCGCGAACGCCGUUCCCCUCCUCACCGACGGGAUCUGAACCGCCGGCCUCACCCGCGAGAACGCCGCCACCUACCUUAGAGAGAACGGCGCCACCGGCCGCAAGAUGAUUCAAGCUGAAUAUUGUCCUACAUGUUGGUUUUUUCUCCAUGAGAUCUGCUAUGUUCGUCUGGAUGCAUCCCAUGCCCGUCCGCAUCAUCACAGGUUAUUGGGUCAAUUUUAGGCCCCGGGCGGCGGGUUCAUAUGAGCGAAAUAUGAAAUCAAUAGCUCAUUGUCGGAUUAUGCUGCUGCUGCUGGAGAUGGACAUGCUGUUAAAUUUUUUCCUGGAGCUUGAAAUCCUUGAAGUGCUUACCAUGUUUUUUUUUGAAAUGGAAGUGCUUACCAUGUACUCUCUUUUAUAAACUAAAUACCUGUGGCUAGCACAGGAAUUGGGAGGUUGUCUUUGUGAUCAUCUACUCUUACAAGUAGCAACUGCUGAUAUACAAUUGCAGCUUGAUCCUUUUAUGUGUCACACCAACCGUUAUUUUUCUGAACUUAGUUUCAUAGCAGCUUGUCCUGUACAUGGAUUUUGGCAAGCAAUGCUUUAUUUGUGGAUCCAUUCAGCAGCAGCGAGGUUAUGUUAUCUGUAUCUAGUCUUAUUUAUUUCUGAAAAACUUGCAUUUUGUAGGACACCUACGAGACUGGUACAGAAAAACAGUAAGUUAAAGGAUGAGGUACGGUCACUGAAGGUACACUUUUUUUACUGAUUUUUCUUUGACUGAAGGUACAAUCAUCUUGCUAACUAAGUUUUUCACUAUUUGUGUGGAGUACGACUAUGCAUUGUGAAUUUGUGAUGUUUGCUCUAUCUGAAGAAACUCCUUAUAUUCGUAUUGCACUAUCAUUGAAUUAGGCAUCGCAUAGUCAGCGCCAAUUUUCAUCUAAAUUAUGCCUGAAAUCAUGCACGCCAUUAUCAUUGCUUAUUGCUUACUCUCUAUUUUUGGUUGGAUUCACUAGUCACUGCUCACUCUCUGUUGUUGGUCGAUUCUAUUGUGGUAGAGGCAACGCGGUGCUUAACGAUGGGGUGUUGGGGCGGAAGCAAUUGGAUAUUCUGAGCUGGAGCAGAUGGUAUGCGGUGCUCGGCGACCACACGCCGGAGUGCGAGGGAUGAGCCAGAUGCUGGAGCAGAGACGAUGUCGGAUCACGGCGCAGACGACGGACUAGUUUAGCAGAAUUCAAAUUCAUGUAUGAAGGGUAGAAAUGUCCAGUCAUUUCAUUUGCUUGUCCGCUUUACUUUGUGAUCCAAAGAACUAGAUGGACUUGACUUUAGAUCACGGGCAGUUUAGUCUUGGCACUUAAUUAGGAUGGCUAUAUUAUAUUUGAGUUUCAUUUGAUGGAUAUUUACUGUGAGAAUUAUGAUUUUUAUGAAUCUACA